rnacentral:rRNA from 1 species
GUGCGCAGCUUAACGUGCGAGUCGAGCGAAUGUUGGCAGCGUACCGCCAGAGUUAGCGGCAGACGGGUGAGUAAUACUUGGGUAAUCUACCCUAAAGAGGGAAACAACCUGCCGAAAGGCGGGCUAAUGUCCCAUAAGACCACAGGAGCGCAUGCUCCAGGGGUCAAAGCUCCGCAAGGGGUGCUUUUGGAGGAACCCGAGUCCUAUCAGCUAGUUGGUGAGGUAACGGCUCACCAAGGCUUUGACGGGUAGCCGGCCUGAAAGGGUGAUCGGCCACACUGGCACUGAGACACGGGCCAGACUCCUACGGGAGGCAGCAGUGGGGAAUUUUGGACAAUGGGGGCAACCCUGAUCCAGCGACGCCGCGUGGAGGACGAAGGUCUUCGGAUUGUAAACUCCUUUUAAUGGGGAUGAAUGCCUGCGUGAAUAACGCAGGGUGACAGUACCCGUUGAAUAAGCCACGGCUAACUACGUGCCAGCAGCCGCGGUAAUACGUAGGUGGCAAGCGUUACUCGGAAUCACUAGGCGUAAAGCGCAGGUAGGCGGUUCGGUAAGUCUUUUGUGAAAGCUCCUGGCUCAACUGGGAGAGGUCAAAGGAAACUGCCGGGCUAGAGUGUGGUAGGGGAUACUGGAAUUCCUGGUGUAGCGGUGAAAUGCGUAGAUAUCAGGAGGAAUACCUAUGGCGAAAGCAGGUAUCUGGGCCAUCACUGACGCUGAGCUGCGAAAGCUAGGGGAGCAAACAGGAUUAGAUACCCUGGUAGUCCUAGCCCUAAACGAUGCUCAUUAGAUGUGGGAGGUAUCGACCCCUUCCGCGUCGCAGCUAACGCAUUAAAUGAGCCGCCUGGGGAGUACGGCCGCAAGGUUGAAACUCAAAGGAAUUGACGGGGGCCCGCACAAGCGGUGGAACAUGUGGUUUAAUUCGACGCAACGCGAAGAACCUUACCUGGGCUUGAACUACUCGUGGUAGUUCGCUGGAAACAGUGGACGACCCGCAAGGCAGCGAGCAGAGGUGCUGCAUGGUUGUCGUCAGCUCGUGUCGUGAGAUGUGGGUAGUCCCGCACGAGCGC